rnacentral:lncRNA from 1 species
CUCCCGCCCAGCUCCGCCUCCCCAGAGUGCACGUGUCUCCCCCAGGGGAGCGUCACCACAGGCACCCUACCCUUUUGGCAGGACCCCACUGCUCAUCUUCCGUCCCUUGUAAAGGCACAUCCCUGGCGCUGCCGGCGCGGCUGCUAAAUCACUCCGACCCUCUCCAUCCCCAGCCCCCGAGGGACCCGUGCACCCUCGUGUAACUCUGGCCCGCGCGAAGCCCUGGGUCCUCGCGCCCGAGUGCUCCUGAAGACUAGGGCACGCCACCCGCGCCCCAGGUGGAUCCGUGCUGGUGCCUCCAGGAGGAUGUGGGCCGGGAACCAGGAGGCCGAGAAGGGAAUCGGGGCCAGUCUGGCCCACACGUGGACAGCAGCGGUGAGCAGCAAGGCCGGUCCAAGCUGUUUCGGUAGGUGGCCUCAAAUGCUUCCACAAGAAGGUGGCACAUGGAUGGGGCUCAGCUCGCUCUGGUCAGCUGGAUCAGGGCUGAGAGCUGGGGAGUCAGCCUGCACUGGUGGGGGAAGGUGGAACUGGCCCCUUCAGCAGAGCGCCCAGAAGGUCCCCGAGGCCUCAGGUGUCGCUGCUCCCCUAAGCACCUCUGACAAGACCAAGACGAC